rnacentral:lncRNA from 1 species
GAGCUGCUGUAGCCCCUACGUGGUGAGUAGAUCGUCUCCACAGAAAUCAGCGGAGGCUUCCACAGUCCCUGGUUGGAAUGGAACCGGCGGUGAGGAUGAGAGGCGCUGAAGACCAGAAGACCCAGGGCGUGAACGGGGCGUGUCAUCCCUGGAGUUUCAGUAGAAUUUCAGGCCUGUCUGCUUGAGCAGCAGAGGAGGAGUUUCUGUGUGCCUGUGAGAGACUGUGUGUGUGUGUGUGUGUGUGUGUGUGUGUGAGAUGAAUGAACAGGGUUGUGUACGUGUGUGUGCGUUAGACAAAUGAACAGUGUUGUGUACCUGUGUGAAUUGUCACUGUGACUCCAGGCUCUAGGCUCUGCAGAUUCCUCAGCCCUAUCGCCUCACAGACACUUGGGAUGUGCAGCAGGUAAAAGAGAGAAGCCAGAUUCAUGGAGGCGUGAAGGAUCCCAGCAAGAAAACACAGACUUGAUCUUGAGACGAGAUUUUUGAAAUUGGUUGCGGCCUCAAGGCAGGCUCUGAGAAGACUCGAUAAAGAGUUCUCAGGAAUAGGCAUCCCUCCUGGAUAUUUCCCCCUUGGAAGCGCCGAGGAGCCAGCUCUAUGUUUGUAACCAUAGCAUUUCUAAAGCUCCAGCCCCAGGAACCUGCUGUGAAUUAGAGACAGAUUCCACCCUAGGCAUCACUGAUCUUGGCCUCUCUUGUAUUGGGAAGGUCAACACUGUUCCAGUUUCUCUCCUACUCCCAUCUGGUUGUGCUCGGUGAAGUAGUGCUACCCUUCUGUUAAAAAAAAAAAAAAAAAAAAGA